rnacentral:rRNA from 1 species
GGUCUCCGUUGGUGAACCAGCGGAGGGAUCAUUACUGAGUUUACGCUCUACAACCCUUUGUGAACAUACCUAUAACUGUUGCUUCGGCGGGUAGGGUCUCCGUGACCCUCCCGGCCUCCCGCCCCCGGGCGGGUCGGCGCCCGCCGGAGGAUAACCAAACUCUGAUUUAACGACGUUUCUUCUGAGUGGUACAAGCAAAUAAUCAAAACUUUUAACAACGGAUCUCUUGGUUCUGGCAUCGAUGAAGAACGCAGCGAAAUGCGAUAAGUAAUGUGAAUUGCAGAAUUCAGUGAAUCAUCGAAUCUUUGAACGCACAUUGCGCCCGCCAGCAUUCUGGCGGGCAUGCCUGUUCGAGCGUCAUUUCAACCCUCAAGCUCUGCUUGGUGUUGGGGCCCUACAGCUGAUGUAGGCCCUCAAAGGUAGUGGCGGACCCUCCCGGAGCCUCCUUUGCGUAGUAACUUUACGUCUCGCACUGGGAUCCGGAGGGACUCUUGCCGUAAAACCCCCAAUUUUCCAAAGGUGACCUCG